GACGAACGCUGGCGGCGUGCUUUACACAUGCAAGUCGAACGGUGAAGGUGGAGCUUGCUCCGCCGGAUCAGUGGCGAACGGGUGAGUAACACGUGGGCAACCUGCCCCUAACUUUGGGAUAACUACUCGAAAGAGUAGCUAAUACCGGAUAUGAAGUCUGUAGGCAUCUAUGGCUUUGGAAAGUUUUUCGGUUAGGGAUGGGCCCGCGGCCUAUCAGCUUGUUGGUGAGGUAGUGGCUCACCAAGGCGACGACGGGUAGCCGGCCUGAGAGGGCGACCGGCCACACUGGGACUGAGACACGGCCCAGACUCCUACGGGAGGCGGCAGUGGGGAAUAUUGCGCAAUGGGCGAAAGCCUGACGCAGCAACGCCGCGUGCGGGAUGAAGGCCUUCGGGUUGUAAACCGCUUUCAGCAGGGAAGAAGCGAAAGUGACGGUACCUGCAGAAGAAGCACCGGCUAACUACGUGCCAGCCGCCGCAGUAA
rnacentral:rRNA from 1 species